CACAGAGUAGAUCGUCGGCAGCGUCAGAUGUGUAUAAGAGACAGUACCAAGGCAACGAUAGUUAGGGGGCCUGAAAGGGUGAUCCCCCACACUGGUACUGAGACACGGACCAGACUCCUACGGGAGGCAGCAGUGAGGAAUAUUGGACAAUGGAGGCAACUCUGAUCCAGCCAUGCCGCGUGCAGGAAGACUGCCCUAUGGGUUGUAAACUGCUUUUAUACAGGAAGAAAAAACUCUACGUGUAGAGUCUUGACGGUACUGUAAGAAUAAGGAUCGGCUAACUCCGUGCCAGCAGCCGCGGUAAUACGGAGGAUCCAAGCGUUAUCCGGAAUUAUUGGGUUUAAAGGGUCCGUAGGUGGACAAUUAAGUCAGAGGUGAAAUCCUGCAGCUCAACUGUAGAAUUGCCUUUGAAACUGGUUGUCUUGAGUCAUUAUGAAGUGGUUAGAAUGUGUAGUGUAGCGGUGAAAUGCAUAGAUAUUACACAGAAUACCAAUUGCGAAGGCAGAUCACUAAUAAUGUACUGACACUGAUGGACGAAAGCGUGGGUAGCGAACAGGAUUAGAUACCCUGGUAGUCCACGCCGUAAACGAUGACAACUAGCUGUUAGGAGACUAUGUCUUUUAGUGGCGCAGCUAACGUUUUAAGUUGUCCGCCUGGGGAGUACGGCCGCAAGGCUAAAACUCAAAUGAAUUGACGGGGACCCGCACAAGCAGUGGAUCAUGUGGUUUAAUUCGAUGCAACGCGAAAAACCUUACCUACUCUUGACAUACUUGGAAGCUCUUGUAAUGAGAGUGUGCUUUUAAGAACCAAGAUACAGGUGCUGCAUGGCUGUCGUCAGCUCGUGUCGUGAGAUGUUCCGUUAAGUCGGAUAACGAGCGCAACCCUUACCCUUAUUUGCCAGCGAUUCGGUCGGGAACUAUAAGGGGACUGCCGGUGAUAAACCGGAGGAAGGUGAGGACGACGUCAAGUCAUCAUGGCCCUUACGAGUAGGGCUACACACGUGAUACAAUGGGAGAGACAGACGGACGCUAAGCCGCGAGGUGGUGCUAAUCCUAGAAACUCUCUCGUAGUCCGGAUUGGAGUCUGCAACUCGACUCCAUGAAGUUGGAAUUGCUAGUAAUCGCGGAUCAGCAUGCCGCGGUGAAUACGUUCUCGGGUCUUGUACACACCGCCCGUCACACCAUGGAAGUGGAUUGCACCAGAAGUAGAUAGUCUAACCUUAGGGAGGGCGUUUACCACGGUGUGCUUCAUGACUGGGGUGAAGUCGUAACAAGGUAGCCGUAGGGGAACCUGUGGCUG
rnacentral:rRNA from 1 species